rnacentral:lncRNA from 1 species
GACUCUGUGAAGCGACAGGCUCUAGAACGCAUAUGUAAAGGCCAAACCAGGUGUGUCUGUAUUAUGCUGCACUACUUUUAUGACUGUAGGUUGGACAUAUCCACUGAGUAACUCUUGGACAGUUUUCAGCUUUUGAGUGAUACUAAUACUUGCACCACAAAGGCUUAUAAGCCCUAAAUGCUCAAAGGUCCUGGUCCUGCAGUACUUAUACAGUGGACUUCUAAGAAGCUUAAAGGAAUGAGGCUUAGGUCUAGGUGUCCUGUGAAGCUGACUUUGUAUGUGCCAUGCACUUAAAGACCUGCAUGCCUCAAUACCUUCUGCCUGUCCUCCUUAGGACACCACUAUGCCAAUUUGUUUGCUCUUCAAGUUGUACAUAGUGCUUAUACUACAAAUCUACAAGUAUGUGAGCUAAGAGGUUAAAAAUUCUACCAGAUUCAAGAAUUAACACCUUGCUAUUUUAAAGAGGCUCUUAUCACCCAGGAAAGCAGGGGGAGGGCUAAAAAAGAUCA